UGAAAGUCUGUUCUUGGUGUCCUUUUAGAAU
rnacentral:piRNA from 1 species